rnacentral:rRNA from 1 species
ACGAACGCUGGCGGCGUGCUUAACACAUGCCAGUCGAACGGAAAGGCCCUGCUUUUGUGGGGUGCUCGAGUGGCGAACGGGUGAGAAACACGUGAGUAACCUGCCCUUGACUUUGGGAUAACUUCAGGAAACUGGGGCUAAUACCGGAUAGGAGCUCCUGCUGCAUGGUGGGGGUUGGAAAGUUUCGGCGGUUGGGGAUGGACUCGCGGCUUAUCAGCUUGUUGGUGGGGUAGUGGCUUACCAAGGCUUUGACGGGUAGCCGGCCUGAGAGGGUGACCGGCCACAAUGGGACUGAGGUACGGCUCAGAGUCCUACGGUAGGCAGCAGUGGGGAAUGUUGCACAAUGGGCCGAGGCCUGAUGCAGCAACGCCGCGUGCGGGAUGACGGCCUUCGGGUUGUAAACCGCUUUCGCCUGUGACGAAGCGUGAGUGACGGUAAUGGGUAAAGAAGCACCGGCUAACUACGUG